UACAUAGGGAGCAAGCGUUAUCCGGAAUGAUUGGGCGUAAAGCGUCUGUAGGUGGUUCGACAAGUCUACUGCCAAAUACGUUGGCUCAACCAACGGCAGGCAUUAGAGUACUAUUGAACUAGAGUAUGGUAGAGGUAGAGGGAAUCCCUAGCGUAACAGUGAAAUGUGUAGAUUUUAGGGAGAACACCAGCGGCGAAGGCGCUCUACUGGGCCAUUACUGACACUGAGAGACGAAAGCUAAGGGAGCGAAAGAG
rnacentral:rRNA from 1 species